rnacentral:lncRNA from 1 species
UGGAAGACAGACUAUAAGAACAAGGGCUUGAGACACAGUGGGAAAGGACUUGUGUCUGGAAUACAGAGAGGAGGGCGGGACGGUGGGACAGCAGUUCACGGCUCCUCUGUGCCCUGGAAUCAAGACAGCUGGAAAACAGCUGCCCAGUGAGCAGAAAGAGGAAGAGCUCUUAGGUCACGAAAAAACGGGAACAGGAAAGCUAAAGAUCAUGGAGAAACAGAAAAGUAAUGCAGAGAAGCAGGCCAAGGCCUAAUGCAGCGUGGAGCAGGGAGGAGAGGCCGCACCCCAGCUGAAGGUAAGGCUGGAGGUGCUUGGCAGGGAGUGCCAGGGGGUACCGAGGCUGAACACUCACUCUGAGAGGCCCCUCCGGCAUGGCAGAAGAGGCCCACUGUGCACUCCCUGUGUCUCAGGGUGGCCCAGAGCAACUGUGAGAGGUGCUUGUUUUCUGAGACUGAGCUGCUCUGGGGCAAGAUAAGAAGUCACCCAACAAGCGCACUUUGGGGCCUCUGGGCGGGACAGCUGCUGAGACAGCCUUUGGUUUUUCUAGGUUAUGCUGGAAUUCAGAGACUGUGAUUAUUUGAAGAUCCUGAAUUAAUAUCACCUCAAAAUAGCUGGCCCUUAGGGGACAGGGCUGGGCUGCCCCUAGGUAAGAGAACCAGCAGGCCAGUGGUGGUUAAACUUUGCUGAUUAGGUGAGGGAGAAGGCAGAAAGCCGAAGCCAUAAGCUUGACAUUAAGAAGCCAUCGCUGUUAAGAACAUUUCUUCUAACUUCUCCGCUCAUCGCCUUCCUCUCGGGAAAUGCACAGGGUGGACCAACUGACCAGCAUAGAUACACGGGGACCCCAGCGAGCCCUGACUCACUGACUGGGCAUGAAAAGCGCUAGUGUGUGACACUCUGAAACCCUCCAAGGGUAAAUCUGACACAGACCGAAAGAACGCUGCUAUGGGACCGGGAAAACAUACUGAGAAGUCCUGCCAGCUGCAAGAUGUAAUCUGGUGGAGGAAAGUCCGAGAAAUUUCACUGGAAUUGAGGGACCAGGGUGUCAAAAGGAACAUCAGGUAGGUCCAAGGGAGGGGGGGACAAAAGCAAGCGAGGGGAAGGUGAAAGGGAACAGUGACGCUCAACAACUAAGGCCACACACACACCGAGAGGUCCGACUGGAGAUUUUAUUCAAGGAGCGGGAGCAGAGAGGGAGGAAGAAGAAGAAAAAGAACAAAGAAAGGAAGGUCCUUUCAUCAGUUUGG